GCUUUCAUUUUUCCUUUCAAAGAGUGAUGCUAGAACAGCUGUAGUUACGGCUCCAAUGGCAAACCCAUAGGCCACAAGAACAUAAACACUCAUGCCUUUAUCCAAGUAAACCUUGGAGAUGAUGUUAAAUCCUGCCUGGCAGAAAGCAACAAAUAUACUCAAGAGAUAUGGUUUCAUCUUUUCUAAUAACAUUUUUUCUUUCCAAUUUCUUGAACUUCCUCCCCCAACACACUCUUUAGUCUCUUCCAUUUCCAACUCUACUCAGAUCAUGUAAUUUUAGUGGCACGCUACUUGCAAG
rnacentral:misc_RNA from 1 species